AUCUUUAUCACAUCAAGGGAUAAAAAUCAUACCUUAAAACAAGCUAUCAGAAACUGAGUGAUCUGGCUCUGCAGUUGUGAGGUGCCUAUGGCUUCGUCUCUUUCAUUUCCGAUCCUCAUUCCGUUCGCACUGGAAUCCCCGUCGUGUGUGACGGUGCCGCAUAUGGCAUUUUCCAAACCUCCGAAGCACCACCGUCCUUUGGUCAGAGGCGGAGUCACAGUUAGACCGCUUCAUCGCCGCCUCAACUCCGCUACGCUGUUCCGGUGCUCUUCCGCCGCGGACGACGCUGUCAUCACCCUUCACGUUGGGGGAAUGAUGUGCGAAGGAUGCGCUAAUAGCGUCAAAAAGCUUUUAGAAAGCCGACCUCAAGUGUUGUCUGCUCGUGUAAAUUUGGCAUCAGAGAUAGCAAUUGUUUCGCCUGCACCUGAAGAAAAAACGGCACCAAAUUAUCUAAAGCAAUUAGGGGAGGAACUUGCGGAGCAUUUAACUACCUGUGGUUUUACAUCUACCCUUCAAGGAAAAUUGGCUUGUCUUUCGUUAAAAUUGGACAAGAUUGUUCCACGCUUUGAAUAUACACUUGAUGGGUCUUCUAAGGUUUCAACUUUGUUGCACUGCUCAAAGUAUAAGGAAGACAUGCACCAAAGGUUCCCAUCACUAAUAGUUGUAGCGAGCAAUAUUUUGAUGUUCGCUAUGCCUAAUACAGCUUUGGCUGAAACUUGUGAGGCUGAUAACUCUUUUUUCAAUAUGCCUAUAUUGCUAGCGGUAGCCCUCAUCGGAGCCACAGUUGGAGGGUUGCUUGCUCGGCAAAGAAGAAAUGAAUUACAACGGGUAAACGAGCAAUUAAUCCAAAUCAAUGCAGCAUUAAGGAAGCAAGCCAAAAUCGAGUCUUAUGCUCCUAGCUUGAGUUAUGCUCCCAUUGGUGGUGGUAGGAUACCUGAUAAUGAAAUUAUUGUUGACCCAAAGAAGCAAGAAUUAAUUUCUAAGUUGAAAAAUGGAAAGAACUUUUUAAGGAAUCAACAGUUGGAUAAAGCAUUCAUAGAGUUUAAGAAUGCACUUGAGCUUGCCCAGAAUCUAAAGGAUCCUAUCGAAGAAAAAAAGGCUGCCAGAGGUCUAGGAGCUUCAUUGCAAAGACAAGGAAAAUAUCGAGAUGCUAUAAAAUACCAUUCCAUGGUUUUGGCCAUCUCUGAACGAGAAGGGGAGGACUCAGGGAAUACAGAGGCAUUUGGGGCAAUUGCUGAUUGUUACACUGAGCUUGGAGAGCUUGAGAAAGCAGGCCAUUUCUAUGACAAGUAUAUUGCAAGACUAGAAAAGGACUAAGAUGACAUGUUUCAUGCGGAUUUUCUUUUUUCUUUCUGAUCCACCCUAUUUGAAGUGAUUGAUUUUUUUGAUCGAAAAUGCGUAAAUGGACUUUUUGAGACUUCGGCGAAAAGGAUAUAGCAUGUUUCCAAGAAUGAAAUAUUAGUCCUUAAGUGGCAGAUAAAGAAGAUAGCAACUGAAGCAGUUAUUUCUUCAGCAUAUAAAUGCAGAAGAGUGGCUACAUGGACUCAACGAUGUCUCUUUUAACGAACUAGGCUGUUAUCAAAUCUUAUAUCCUCGGUUCUUCAGAUAUACAAGACAGGUUUAUAUCAAGUAUGUAUGUUAUAAUCUUCCUUAUUGUCAAUAGCGAUGAUGCCCUGUGUGUGGGAGAUUUGUCAAUGCACAAAUCUAUAAUUAGUAAUCCUGUAGUUAUCCAGAAUUCCACUUUAUGCUAUGUUGUUUGAGAUUUUUGUAUGAUACUUGCAGCAUUUUUUGUUUGACAAAUGCUAAUCUACAUCUUGGCAAUGAAGAACUCAAUGUGAAAAUUUCCAUA